ACCCUCUGUCAUGUACACUGGAGUGCAGUGGCACGAUCACAGCUUGAUGCAGCCUGGUUCUCCUGGGCUCAAGCAAUCCUCCUGCCUCAACCUUCUGAGUAUCUGGGACAACAGGAAAAUGGUUUCAUUGGAGUGUCUUUAGAGCUGUGAUGUCAAGACAUGAAGAACAAGUGCACACACAGACAUGGCUAUCACAGAACAGACUAUGGCUGACUCCUUCCUCUGCUUCCUCACUCAUCACUUCUCCUUGGACAACCACAAUUAGUCUUUGUGCCUUCAGGCAACACUGCUAUCAAAAUUAUUCUAUUAUAAGCAGAGUCAACUUCCUAAAAAUGGAAAUCUUCCCAUGCCAGUCCCCAACUAAAAAACAUCCAAUGACUCCCCGUCACCUAAAUCUGAGAUACUUAGCAUGGCAUUAAGACUCUCCACGGGGCCAGACUUUGGAAGGCCGAGAAAGAAGUAUUACUUCAGCCCAGGAAUUUAUGACCAGCUCAGGCAGCACAGUGAGACCCUGUCUCUACUUGAGCCCAGGAGGUCAAGGCUGCAGUGAGCCGUGAUGGUGCCACUGCACUCGCACCUGGGUGACAGAGCAAGACCCUGCCUCAACAAAACAAAACAAA